GAAAUGCCUCAUGUCUUCCGAAAGCCUAAACACUGUCAUGCAAAUCAAACCCCUUCAUAAAUGAUUAGAGGUGUUCUCAGGAGAAGUGAGGGUCUGGGUUCAGGUUCAGAUCAAACCAUGUUCUCUACACUUCUACUCUUGCUGUUAACAGCUACAUCUGGUAUUAAAUGUAUUGAACUGGUUCAGCCUGCAGUCAUGCUGGUUAAGCCUGGAGAAUCAUUUUCAGUCCCCUGUAAGAUCACUGGAUACUCAGCCACUAGUCAAUGUACUAACUGGAUACGACAAUCAGGACAAAAACUGGAAUGGAUCGGCUGGUACUGCAGCUCCAGUGAUACUGGCAGCAGCGAUUCACUAAAGAACAAGAUCCGUUUCUCAGCUGAUGCCUCCACCAACACUGUGACUUUACACGGGCAAAACUUUCAGACUGAGGACACAGCUGUGUAUUACUGCGCUCGUAACUCACAGUGAGACAGAUCAACAAAGACGCUGUACAAAAACAUCCAGUACAGAAGUCUGUUAGAGGCAGAAACUGUGUCUUACUUCAAUGUUUCACCUUCUGAGUUUCUCAGAAGAGUGAGAAGAUGAUAUCAGCUAACUUUCUCUCAGUUGAUUGGAUGAGAUUGUAGUGUGAAAUUUUGGAACUACAAUUAGAUGUUAAAUGUAUAACUUUUAAAUCUACUAAAGAAACCCUGACAUCACAUCAUCACAUUAUAUUUGAGUUAUGAGUAAGAUUGAUCAGGCCAUAUUACUUUUCUGAAGUCCACUAAAUAAUUGUUCCUUGUCAUAGGUUAUAUUUUGAUUCAUAUUAAAAUUGUUAAACAGAAUUUAUUCUUUUAAAGUGUCA